UUGGAGUGACUCGGUGGUGCUGCCGCGUUGCUUGGUGGUCUAGGACACAGGGCUUUCCUUACCUGACAAGAGUUCAUUUGUCUCAGAAGGAGCAGGAGGCAGCAACCCUGACUUCCUGCUUCUGGGCCACGUCCAGAGAAAAGCAAGAAAGCUCUUUGUGAAGGGUCUGGAGCACAAGUCUUACGAGGAGUAGCUGAGGAAAUUGGGGCUGUUUAGUUUGGAAAAAAAAGGAGGCUGAGGGGGGACCUCAUCGCUCUCUGCAGCUCCUGGAAAGGAGGUUGGAGCGAGAUGCAGCAAGGGAUUUUGCUGCUAUACAACCAACUGUAAAACCUCUGUACUAGCCCUGCAAAUAGCACACCUGGCUUGAGAAUCACCAACAAGGGAUAAUUAAAGAAAACUUGCUGGAUAGUUGUGAAAUUAUAGUACUACCAGAGAAAAUAUACCAAGACACCUACUCCACAUCAUCCCUGGAAGGGUCAGGUGUCAUACUGCUGAGAUUUUGGUGGUGUGCUCCAAAAGCAGUGGAAUAAAACCUGUGGAGCAGUGCAAUAUCUACUUUCCACCUGUAUCUAGAACUUCUUGGGCCACUGGACUCAUUACGCUACAGGAGGAGGUAGCACUGGGACAGCAGUGGCUCCAGUCACAACCUGCCCUGGAGAUGAGGGGAGCUUUCAGUGGGCAGGAAUUUGCAGGAGGCUAAAUGGACCAGAGACAGGAGCCAGUAUCGCAUGCCCCUCGUCAUCCCCAGU